AUGGGGGAUGAUGAUGGUGGGCACUGGCUUGUCCUCUUCUGUUACCUCAUCAUCCUCUUCAUUCCCCUUUAUCCACCCUCAGCCCCACAUUUUCUGUCACGUUUCACCACUUUCUCCCUCCUUAUCUCUUUUCUCCAGGGUUUCUCCCAUUCCUGUCAACUCCUUCCUCCAGUUCCUGCCACCUCCGUCCCUUCCAUUUCUGUCCUUCAUAUCCCUCACCAGCCCUUUCCUCUCUUGCCCCAUUUUCUGUCACCAACACUUUCUUUCCAGUCCCCUUUUCACACUUUUCUGUCUUUUGUCCUUACACUUUGUCCCUUUUCAUCCCCCAUUUCCCCUCACCUUUCUGCAGCUUUCUCAGCUCCUCUCCUUCCCAUUCUCAGGUUUUCCUGCUCUUUUCCCCUCACGUUUUCCCGCCCUUUUUCCCCUCACGUUUUCCCGCCCUUUUUCCCCUCACGUUUUCCCGCCCUUUCCCUCAUAUUUUCCUCAUAUUUUCCUGCUUUUUUCCCUAUUUUUUCCCACCCUUCCUCCUCAUGUUUUCCUGCCUUUCCCCCCUCAUUUUCACGCCAGUUCCCUUCAAUUUUCCCACUUUUUCACCUCACAUUUCCCCACCCUUUUCAUCUCACAUUUUUCCACCUUUCCCCCUCACAUCUUCCCACCAUUUCCCAUCCACUCUUUGCCCUAAUUUUUGUCCCCUUUUCCAGCUGUUUCUGUCCCUUCCUGAUGUCAUUUUCUGUCCCCUUUUUGACCCCAAUCUGUCACUUCUUCCAGCAUAUCCUCUUCCCUCUUUUCUGCUCCCUUUCCUGUCUAUUUUUGCCCUCCACUUCUUGUCACCUCUUCCAGCCUUUCCUGUCACAUUUUCCCACCGUUUCCUCACACGUUUUCCCACUAAUUUCCAUCCCCUCACCCCUUUCUUUCUUGCCCCAUUUUCCCUCUUUUCUGUCUGCUUUUACCCACCUUUCCUUUCAGUUUUUCUCCCCAUUUUCUCUCCCGCAUUCCUCUCAUUUUGGGUUCCUCUUUCCCCCUUCUCUGUCGCUGUUCUCAGCUCCUCUUCCCCCCUACUUCAUCCCCUCACCCCUCAGGCCAUGA
rnacentral:lncRNA from 1 species